rnacentral:lncRNA from 1 species
AAGAAAAGAGAGAACGUCUAAGAGAUAAGGUAGAAUAAAAAAAAAUAUUCGAUUAACAGAACGGAUAAUGAUAACACGUUCCAUUUUGAUCGAUAACGAUCGUUCGAUUGCGAAUAUUUCGAAUGUUAAAGUUAAAAAUUAUAUCAUGCACGAGGGGGAGGGGAGAAUGUUUAAUUUCGAUCAUCGAAACAAAGAUUCUUACACCGAUAUGGAAAAUAUAAUACAAAACGUGUAUUUCAUGGCUCACCCAGUAUACACAGCAUCGCAGGUAAUGAAAAUCCUAUUAGCAGCGGAACGUGUUAAGUAUUUAACAAAGUCUUUCUCACUCGAGAAUUCCUCGGCGGCGUCUAGGUCGAUUCGUUUCUCGGUCGAUCGACGGUGCACCACCCCACCCCGUGUUUCCCCAUCGAACGAACGUGUUUUCAACGUGAGCAACAGGUCCUAACCAUCGAAAUUCUCCGGCAUACGACGAAUUCUCGGGCUCGUUCGCGCGAAAAUCAAGCCACGUUAACAGUUUCGUCACCGAUCGCGGCACCAACUGUGCCGCGUUUUCAGGAUUUUCAUUCGAUCGACGACCAACAGGUACACGCGCACGUUUGUAGGUAUACACGGACGUGGUACACGUACAAACGCGCGAGAGUUCGUUUUCAGUCGCGAACAAAGAACGACCGUGUUGUGUUUGGACGAACAGCGAAGGCGUUUCGUGGAAUAUUUUUGCUCUCAGAACAAUGCGUAUGAUUCCGAGCAAUUUCACGCGUGACUUUUAUUUUUUCUUUUCUCUUUUGUUUUUCUUUUUUCUUUUUUUUUGUGCGCGCGCGCGUGUGCGUUCGACUGUUUUCGAUCGGAUUUUCGAGAGGAAUUGUAGUUUUUCGGAAUUUCGUGACGCGUAAAAUAGUCGAUUACGCGUGGUAAAAAAGUUUGUAAGGGAAAUUUGAUUGUAGAGAAAAUUAUAUUAAAUUUAAAAGAGAAAAAAAUUUAACCUUAAAUUUUGGUAUUAAUUUUUCGAAAAAAAAAGUUUUAACACGAUUAGAUACGUAUUUAGUAUGAUACGCGAUAACAGAGGAAAUUUAAUAUUUUAGAAAAAUUGGUGUAUGGUCGAAAAAAAGAUGAAUGAUUUUGUAGAGAGAGGUUAUGAUAUAUAUUUAUCAAGAAAUAAAAAGUACGAGCAAGUAAAUUUGUAUCAAAUGCUAAAGUCUCAUUGAAAAUAAAAUUUUUUAUCAUUUUUAAAUAAUAGUGUGCUCUAACAUACGUCGUACAUUCGACGUGUCUCGCAAAAUUUCAUGCAUCUCGUUCAUUUCAUCUUAUUAUUUAAAAUACGAUGUAUAUAUUUUAAUUUCAUAUCAUUUACUAGUAUCUUUAUAUAUAAUUACCAAAAUUUAAAACUAUGAGAAUAAAAUGUAAUAAAAAGAAAACACUUAAUCAUAAAAUAUGUACUUUUUAACAAUUCUAACCUUAUUCAUCCUUAAAUGUCAAGAAUCAAACAAUUAAAAAAAACACCAAACACAAUUCUUAUGAAAUUUCCACUCUCAUUUCUCUUCAUUCUUCAGUCAACAAAAAUCAAGAAGAAAAAAGAAUAAAUGGAUAAAAAUAAAACACUACUAAAAUGUGAUGAAACGUGACGAAGAAAUGCGACAGUCGAGUGUCAAUUAAAACCUCAUGGCCGAUGAAUACGAGCCGUAUCUCGAUCAUGCACACGCUCGAUUAUCGAUUCUCGCUGUCUCGCGUGGAUAAAGAUUUCUCUCGCGUCCGAAGGCGAGUUUACUCGCAACAAGUUCCAUCGAGAAUUUCUCGUUGAAGAAAUUUUUUGGCGAGACUAUGUCGAGUCAACCGUGAAAUUGCUUACUUCGCUUCGAUAGUCGAACUCGGGUAACAAUCGAUAUGUACGCGUAUCGAGAUUUGGACGAUCAGUGUUACUCGUUGAAACGGUACUGCGUAGUAUAUGGUGACACGUAAAGUGAGAAAAAAAUUCUAUUUGUAGUUAAGUGAACGAAUAGUUUAUCAGUGAGGGAUUAUUAAUCGAGUUGAAAUGCAAAAUAAUUGUAUCUACGAAACGAGAAAACAUCGAGAUUGUGCCAUCUGAGCCGAUGGAUGCAACUGCACCGCGAACAAGAAGGUUUCUACCUUCGUAUCAGAUGCACACCAGAUCUCUACAAUUCCGUUACCGACGGAUGCUCGCGCUUUACUAUAGUCGG